GGUAAGUGUGCCUCGGGUGAGCAUGCACUUAACGUAGGUGUAUGUCACUCGGCUCGGCCCACUACCCA
rnacentral:pre_miRNA from 1 species